GAGAAUCGCAUGAUUUUCUUAUCAAAGAUUUAUUGCUUUGAGAUGGACCCGCGGCGCAUUAGCUAGUUGGUAAGGUAACGGCUUACCAAGGCAACGAUGCGUAGCCGACCUGAGAGGGUGAUCGGCCACAUUGGAACUGAGACACGGUCCAGACUCCUACGGGAGGCAGCAGUGGGGAAUAUUGCGCAAUGGGGGAAACCCUGACGCAGCAACGCCGCGUGGGUGAUGAAGGUCUUCGGAUUGUAAAGCCCUGUUUUCUAGGACGAUAAUGACGGUACUAGAGGAGGAAGCCACGGCUAACUACGUGCCAGCAGCCGCGGUAAUACGUAGGUGGCGAGCGUUGUCCGGAUUUACUGGGCGUAAAGGGUGCGUAGGCGGAUGUUUAAGUGGGAUGUGAAAUCCCCGGGCUUAACCUGGGGGCUGCAUUCCAAACUGGAUAUCUAGAGUGCAGGAGAGGAAAGCGGAAUUCCUAGUGUAGCGGUGAAAUGCGUAGAGAUUAGGAAGAACACCAGUGGCGAAGGCGGCUUUCUGGACUGUAACUGACGCUGAGGCACGAAAGCGUGGGUAGCAAACAGGAUUAGAUACCCUGGUAGUCCACGCCGUAAACGAUGGAUACUAGGUGUAGGGGGUAUCAACUCCCCCUGUGCCGCAGUUAACACAAUAAGUAUCCCGCCUGGGGAGUACGGUCGCAAGAUUAAAACUCAAAGGAAUUGACGGGGGCCCGCACAAGCAGCGGAGCAUGUGGUUUAAUUCGAAGCAACGCGAAGAACCUUACCUGGACUUGACAUCCCUUGCAUAGCCUAGAGAUAGGUGAAGCCCUUCGGGGCAAGGAGACAGGUGGUGCAUGGUUGUCGUCAGCUCGUGUCGUGAGAUGUUAGGUUAAGUCCUGCAACGAGCGCAACCCUUGUUAUUAGUUGCUACCAUUAAGUUGAGCACUCUAAUGAGACUGCCUGGGUAACCAGGAGGAAGGUGGGGAUGACGUCAAAUCAUCAUGCCCCUUAUGUCCAGGGCUACACACGUGCUACAAUGGUAGGUACAAUAAGACGCAAGACCGUGAGGUGGAGCAAAACUUAUAAAACCUAUCUCAGUUCGGAUUGUAGGCUGCAACUCGCCUACAUGAAGCUGGAGUUGCUAGUAAUCGCGAAUCAGAAUGUCGCGGUGAAUACGUUCCCGGGCCUUGUACACACCGCCCGUCACACCAUGAGAGCUGGUAACACCCGAAGUCCGUGAGGUAACCGUAAGGA
rnacentral:rRNA from 1 species